AUUGAACGCUGGCGGCAUGCCUUACACAUGCAAGUCGAACGGCAGCACGGGUGCUUGCACCUGGUGGCGAGUGGCGAGCGGGUGAGUAUUACAUCGGAACGUACCUUAUCGUGGGGGAUAACGCAGCGAAAGCUGUGCUAAUACCGCAUACGCUCUGAGGGGGAAAGCGGGGGAUCGCAAGACCUCGCGCGAUUAGAGCGGCCGAUGCCUGAUUAGCUUGUUGGUGGGGUAAAAGCCCACCAAGGCCACGAUCAGUAGCUGGUCUGAGAGGACGAUCAGCCACACUGGGACUGAGACACGGCCCAGACUCCUACGGGAGGCAGCAGUGGGGAAUUUUGGACAAUGGGGGCAACCCUGAUCCAGCAAUGCCGCGUGAGUGAAGAAGGCCUUUGGGUUGUAAAGCUCUUUUGUCAGGGAAGAAACACCGGCUCUAACACAGUCCGGGAAUGACGGUACCUGAAGAAUAAGCACCGGCUAACUACGUGCCAGCCGCCGCAGUAA
rnacentral:rRNA from 1 species